UCAGCAGGUUUCUUUUUCCCUAGACAAUAAUAGUCGACACUCUCUCGAUCUGCUUUCGUGUAUUUGAAAUCCGAAUGUGGCUUCGAAAAUUUGUCCCCGCAAUUUCGAUGUCGCGAAAAGAGUGAGAGAAUGCGAAAAUGGGCUGAUGCAACUUCAGGGAGCAAUCAUCCUGCCCGAACCGACGCCGGCGGCCUAACUCAAAGGAGCGAUUGUUUUGCCCGAGCCUAGGCGGCGUUGAUCAGCGGACUCCGUCAAAGAUUUUUCCAAUAAUGUCGGGUCAAACCCAGCGCCUGAAUGUAGUUCCCACUGUCACAAUGCUCGGAGUUAUGAAAGCUCGCCUUGUUGGCGCUACAAGAGGCCAUGCUCUGCUCAAGAAGAAGAGCGAUGCUUUGACGGUGCAGUUUCGUCUAAUCCUUAAGAAAAUUGUCUCUACAAAAGAAUCAAUGGGAGAGAUCAUGAAGUCAUCUUCAUUUGCCUUGACUGAAGCUAAAUAUGUUGCUGGGGAGAAUAUUAAGCACAUUGUUCUUGAGAAUGUCCAAAAUGCGUCUCUCAAAGUCAGAUCAAAGCAAGAGAAUAUAGCUGGUGUGAAGCUUCCUAAGUUUGAAUACUUCACUGAAUCUGAGACCAAGAAUAACCUGACUGGACUGGCCAGAGGUGGUCAGCAAGUCCAGCUAUGUCGAGCUGCUAAUAUCAAAGCAAUUGAGGUUCUUGUUGAGCUUGCUUCACUUCAAACGUCGUUUUUAACACUCGAUGAAGCAAUAAAAACAACAAAUCGGAGAGUUAAUGCUCUGGAGAAUGUUGUGAAGCCAAGAUUGGAGAACACUAUCAGCUAUAUCAAGGCAGAACUGGAUGAGCUUGAAAGAGAGGAUUUCUUCAGGUUGAAGAAGAUACAAGGAUACAAGAAGAGGGAGCUCGAGAGACAGAGGGCGUCAGCGCACCAAUAUGCAGUAGAGAAGCUCGCUGAGGAGGUUUCUUUAAAAGAGGGCAUACCCCUUAACUCGGCCCACAACUUGUUAUCGGCAGGAGCAGAGAGAGAUGAAGAUAUUAUUUUCUAAUCUGAUGUCCCAAAUCUGGUCGGAGUCAUAUGUCAAUAUGGUAUUAUCGAUGUGUUGCUGCUCUUUCAGAAUUAGAAUUGCCGGGUAUGACUUAGAUGGCCGUUCGAUGUCAUAUAGUUUUAUAGGGAAUAAUAGUGGUGGUGGAAUGUGGUUCAUGUGUCUUGUUGUAUGGUUGUUAUCAGACUCUUUAAGCAUAGAAUACAGAGCUUCUCUGCUGAGAAUCAGUUAUUAAGUCGACCAAUGUUUGUCGAGCCAGUCAUAUGCACACUGAAACUAUUGCUGGUACCGGCAGUUGCGGAGCCAUUGUUGGAAUUGCCAGUUUGCUCUCUUUGAUCGCGACAGGUGAUUCUACUCGGCUUUGGUUUCUCUUCCUUGAGUGGGGAUUAGUUUGAUCUUUGAAUGAACAGAGUCCUCAUGGAUUUGCUCGCAUAUAGCCGUUCCUCCCGGCGACAUAUGGACGUCUGUGACUUUGUUCUAUACGGUUCCUCGUGUCAUUCAAACCAGCGCCCAGCAGAAUAUCGUCGAUCCCGCUCCUAAUGAGCUCUGUAGAGAUGAUUGCAACUGUCACUGUCAUACCCUGAAUGUGGUUACUUUGGAAAUAUAUAUGCCUUGUGCUUUGAGCUGAAUAGUGAAGCUCAUUCGGGGUUGAGUUUAACGCUUUGUUCUGUCUAGUACCCGUAGUUGGUGGGAAAGGGAGAUGAUGCUGUUUAGGGACGGAAUUUCGUCAUGUGCUUUGGUAUUCUAAGAAACUUUUUAUGAAAUAGUAAAGAAGUUUACCUGUA